UACGUAGGGGGCGAGCGUUGUCCGGAUUUAUUGGGCGUAAGGAGCGUGUAGGCGGCCAGGUAGGUCGGUUGUGAAAACUGGAGGCUCAACCUUCAGAGGUCGACCGAAACCAUCUGGCUAGAGUCCGGGAGAGGAGAGUGGAAUUCCUGGUGUAGCGGUGAAAUGCGCAGAUAUCAGGAAGAACACCCGUGGCGAAAGCGGGUUGCUGGGCUGACACUGACGCUGAGGCGCGAAAGCUAGGGGAGCGAACGGG
rnacentral:rRNA from 1 species